CCACACAAUGCUAGAGUUAUGUCUCAGGUUGUAUGCCUAUUGUGAUUUUUACAUCUCGGCAGCUCAGCAUUUUGCCGAAAAACAGACAAAAGGUACAAUUCAUUCAAUGAACCAACUUGAAAUGGCCUGAUGUGCCACAAACAUCUGUGUGUGUCUCAGGGACGUUAUCAAACAAUAAUCCUGUUUGUAUAUUUAUUGUGAGAAGAGAAAAUGCAUCUUUUAGGAUUUCUUACUAUGCCAGCUAAGGUGCCAGCUGAGGUUAAGAGCAGAUGUCCUUAUGGAAAUAUAAUGAGGGUGAGGUUGGCUCAUUAUACUAAUUGAUGUAGUUAUUUG